CAUCAGUCCACUUUCUCUGCCAAUCAGCUGUGGGUUCUUUUGCUUGAUUCAGAUGGAGAAUCAUGAAUUGGCAAAGUGUGGCUCAGCUGGCAGCCCUGAUAACACCAGCUGACGCCAGUCCUGUUGGACCCCAACACUGCUGCACUUGGUUGCCCCUGACUGGUAUUGGUUUGUGACAGACUCUGGUCUCUCCUGUUGGUCCACGGAGCUAUCGGAGCUGGCGGCUUCUUGUGUUCAUUGCUCUUUCUUUUGAGAUACCUUCUCCAUCUACACUGCUCAGGAAAAGAAACGAGUAGAUUCACAAGGCCAUCUGAGCCCACACCACCUGAGAAAUAGAUCGGAGACAGAUUUACCAGAAUACUAAAGCAGGUCUUCAUUUUGACAGGACCUGUGCUGCCGCAUAGGAGGUAGGAGGGCUCAGUACACCGGAGAAAACCCUCCUGGACUGACCAGGAUGGGUGUGAGGAUUCUGCCAGCAUCUCAGCCAUGGUCCGCAACCCCUUCCAGUUCAGCCUGGGAUUUGUUCAGAUACAGGCCUGCCGACUGGUCCAGGCUGGGAUUGGCCCAAGAGGGUCCAGGGUCCAGGGUCCCGGCAGGGAUUCAGUAAUGCACCAGGCCACGCCUCAUUUUUCCUGAGAGAAAAGGGAUGUGAGGGGAUCAAACACAAGACGCAGCAUUUUACAGUUCCACUUCCAAAGGCGUCCACUCUGUGACACAGCAGGACAAUCGGAUCGGCAUCUCAGCUGUAGAAUCGCAGAAACCUGAAAGCCGAGCACAUUAACAC
rnacentral:lncRNA from 1 species